AAUAAAUAAUGUUUUGCAUUGUUCAUUCAAUGUUUGACUAUUUGUUUUAUUUAAUAUUUUUUAUGAUUAGUAUUUUUAUUGUUAUUAGAUGAUAAUACAUGAAUAGUACUUUAUGUGUGACUAAUUUUUUUUAUUUUUCUAAAUAAGACGAAUGGUCAAACGUUGGACACAGAUAUCCACGGAUGUACAUAUU
rnacentral:pre_miRNA from 1 species